CAGCCGUAAACUAUGCGCGCUAGGUGUAUCGGUGACCACGAGUUACCGAGGUGCCGAAGGGAAACCGUGAAACGUGCCGCCUGGGAAGUACGGUCGCAAGGCUGAAACUUAAAGGAAUUGGCGGGGGAGCACCACAACAGGUGGAGCCUGCGGUUUAAUUGGACUCAACGCCGGGAAGCUCACCGGAUAGGACAGCAGAAUGAUUGCCGGGCUGAAGACCCUGCAUGACUAGCUGAGAGGAGGUGCAUGGCGUCAGUGACU
rnacentral:rRNA from 1 species